rnacentral:rRNA from 1 species
UACAGAGGUCUCAAGCGUUGGUCGGAUUCAUUGGGCGUAAAGGGUGCGUAGGCGGCGCGGUAAGUCGGGUGUGAAAUCUCGGAGCUUAACUCCGAAACUGCAUUCGAUACUACCGUGCUUGAGGACUGGAGAGGAGACUGGAAUUUACGGUGUAGCGGUGAAAUGCGUAGAUAUCGUAAGGAAGACCAGUGGCGAAGGCGGGUCUCUGGACAGUUCCUGACGCUGAGGCACGAAGGUCAGGGGAGCAAACGGG